rnacentral:rRNA from 1 species
ACUCCUACGGGAGGCAGCAGUGGGGAAUCUUAGACAAUGGGGGAAACCCUGAUCUAGCCAUGCCGCGUGAGCGAUGAAGGCCUUAGGGUUGUAAAGCUCUUUCAGCUGGGAAGAUAAUGACGGUACCAGCAGAAGAAGCCCCGGCUAACUCCGUGCCAGCAGCCGCGGUAAUACGGAGGGGCUAGCGUUGUUCGGAAUUACUGGGCGUAAAGCGCACGUAGGCGGCCUGUUAAGUCAGAUGUGAAAGCCCGGGGCUUAACCUCGGAAUUGCAUUUGAAACUGGCAGGCUAGAGUCUUGUAGAGGGGGGUAGAAUUUCAGGUGUAGCGGUGAAAUGCGUAGAGAUCUGAAGGAAUACCAGUGGCGAAGGCGGCCCC